UCCUGGGUUGAUCCUGCCAGUAGUCAUAUGCUUGUCUCAAAGAUUAAGCCAUGCAUGUCUGAGUACAGACCGAUCUAAGGUGAAACCGCGAAUGGCUCAUUAAAUCAGUCAUAAUUUCUUGGAUAGUGAAAAACUUUCCUCGGAUAACUGUGGAAAAUCCAGAGCUAAUACGUGCAACUGAGCUCCGACCUCGGCGAACACCCUGGGAAGAGCGCAUUUAUUAGAUUCAAAACUGACCGUCGUACUCCUUCGGGAUGCGUCGUCUGUCAUAUUGAUGACUCCGGAUAACUAAGCCGAGCGCUACGGUCUUUGUACCGGCGCCGUAUCUUUCAAGUGUCUGCCUUAUCAGCUUUCGAUUGUAGGUUAAACGCCUACAAUGGCUGUAACGGGUAACGGGGAAUCAGGGUUCGAUUCCGGAGAGGGAGCCUGAGAAACGGCUACCACAUCUAAGGAAGGCAGCAGGCACGCAAAUUACCCACUCCCAGCACGGGGAGGUAGUGACGAAAAAUAACGAUGCGAGACUCUUCCGAGGCCUCGCAAUCGGAAUGAGUCCAUUCUAAAUCCUUGGACGAGGAUCCAUUGGAGGGCAAGUCUGGUGCCAGCAGCCGCGGUAAUUCCAGCUCCAAUAGCGUAUAUUAAAGUUGCUGCGGUUAAAAAGCUCGUAGUUGGAUCUCCUAGAUCCAAUUCGUGGGCGGGUCGCCCGUUGUACGCGCGUCUUCGCGGUCCCUCGAGAGGCGCUCUCUUCGGCGCGGCAUGUGGUCGUUGCGUUAAUUCCGCUUGUCCUCGAAGUAGUCCCCUGCGUGGGGGCACGCCGAGAGGCUUGUGGCGUUUUCGUAUACACUCGUGCGCGGUGUCGGGUUUGCGCUUAGCCUGUGGGCGGUUGACGUAGUCUUCGGGUACUGCCCGUCCGCGCUUGGUACAAUUAAAAUUUUGUCGGCUCGCUCGGAGUGCUCUUUACCGAGUGUUCCAGGGUGGCCGACACGUUCACUUUGAAAAAAUUAGAGUGCUUAAAGCGGGCUAUAGAGUUGCCUGAAUGUUGUUGCAUGGAAUGAAGGAACAGGACCUCGGUUCUGUUCUUUUUGUCGGUUUUAUUGAACCGAGGUAAUGAUUAAAAGGAACGGACGGUGGCAUUAGUAUUGCGACGCUAGAGGUGAAAUUCUUGGAACGUCGCACGACUAACUACUGCGAAAGCAUUUGCCGAGCACGUUUUCAUUAAUCAAGAACGAAAGUUAGAGGAUCGAAGGCGAUCAGAUACCGCCCUAGUUCUAACCCUAAACUAUGCUAACUAGCGAUCCGCCGGAGUCAUUCCCACGACCCGGCGGGAAGCCCCAGGGAAACCAAAGUCUUUGAGUUCCGGGGGAAGUAUGGUUGCAAAUCUGAAACUUAAAGGAAUUGACGGAAGGGCACCACCAGGAGUGGAGCCUGCGGCUUAAUUUGACUCAACACGGGAAACCUCACCAGGCCCGGACAUCAAAAGGAUUGACAGAUUGAGAGCUCUUUCUCGAUUCGAUGGGUGGUGGUGCAUGGCCGUUCUUAGUUGGUGGAGUGAUCUGUCUGGUUGAUUCCGAUAACGAACGAGACUCUACCCUACUAACUAGUCGGCGGAUCGUAACCCUGUGCUGGGGGAAUCCGAAGUUCUCUUUGCAGUCGGCGUGUGUCGGGAUAUCGAUGUAACCCAUAAACCUGUUUUUUAAAGGAGGUGGACUGGAUAGUGCGUCGUAUAUUCUCGCCGCGUCUUGGCUUGCGGGUGUGACCGAGGUGACUCUUACUGGGGGCGUCCGUCGCAAUGUAUCUUCUUAGAGGGAUCAGCGGCGUCUAGCCGCACGAGAAAGAGCAAUAACAGGUCUGUGAUGCCCUUAGAUGUUCUGGGCCGCACGCGCGCUACAAUGUGCAGUUCAGCGUGUCACCCCGCUCCGAAAGGAGUGGGUAACCCGUUGAAACCUGCACUCAAUUGGGAUUGGGGAUUGCAAAUGUUUCCCAUAAACGAGGAAUUCCCAGUAAUCGUGAAUCAUUAAUUCGCGCUGAUUACGUCCCUGCCCUUUGUACACACCGCCCGUCGCUACUACCGAUUGAAUGAUUCAGUGAGGUCAUCGGAUUGGCUCCUUCGGUUGCAAUAUAUCUUAGGUUGACGAAAAGACGUCCGAACUCGAUCAUUUAGAGGAAGUAAAAGUCGUAACAAGGUUUCCGUAGGUGAACCUGCGG
rnacentral:rRNA from 1 species